CUCCGCUUGGUGUAGUUGGUUGUCAGUACUCCCCACAGAGUCAUCACUCAUGCAGUCUACUAACCUCAAUUAGUAUCACGUUCGACUGUAAUAUCACUUUGUAAUCGAAAGGUCCCUAGUUCGAUUCUGGGAGCGGAGA